AGGGCACCACCAGGAGUGGAGCCUGCGGCUUAAUUUGACUCAACACGGGAAAACUCACCCGGCCCGGACACCGUAAGGAUUGGCAGACUGAGAGCUCUUUCUUAAUUCGGUGGGUGGUGGUGCAUGGCCGUUCUUAGUUGGUGGAGCGAUUUGUCUGGUUAAUUCCGAUAACGAACGAGACUCUGGCCUAUUAAAUAGACGGUAUAUCUAGAAAAAGUAUACCGCGCUUCUUAGAGGGACAACCGGCGUCUAGCCGCGUGAAAUAGAGCAAUAACAGGUCUGUGAUGCCCUUAGAUGUCCGGGGCUGCACGCGCGCUACACUGAAAGAAUCAGUAUGCGCCGUCGCCUAGUUCGGAAGAACCGGGUAACCCGAGCAAAUUCUUUCGUGCUUGGGAUAGGGAAUUGCAGUUAUUUCCCUUAAACGAGGAAUUCCCAGUAAACGCGGGUCAUAAGCUCGCGUUGAUUACGUCCCUGCCCUUUGUACACACCGCCCGUCGCUACUACCGAUUGGAUGACUUA
rnacentral:rRNA from 1 species